AAUGAAUUAGAGAUAAGUCUUGGCAGCUUUAAACUUUUAUGCCAAUGGAUCAUACAAAUGGCUUUGUGAUGGCUAAGGCAUCUUUUAGCAAAUGCCUACAUGAAGUCGCUGACGCUCCUGAAUACCCCAGCUGUUUAAAAAAAAUGUGUUAAGUUCCCUUUGCAUUAAACACAAAAUCAUUAUAAAUAAGUGACCAAUGUUUGCAUGAUGACCCCUAUCUUGGGAGCUGCUCCUAGAUCCCAUGAAGAUAUGCACAACAUUGCUGUGUCAGAAAUACGGUGGAGCCUUGUAGUUGGGUGCAUAUUGUAAAAUGUUUCCUCACUCCAAAACCAUGAACUCUGGUUUCCUAAACCCUCAAGCUAUGCAGCCGAAGGAGGAGACUUAUCACAGGAGAAUCACUAAUAAUUUUGAAGAAGUGAAGAGCUUAACAAUGUUUCAACCAACACCUAAAGAAGCUUUCACUUGGCUGUUAGAUCAAGGGCUGGAUACAGAAAACAGUAAUCCUUGUGAUGGCAGUAUUGUCCAAGGAUUCCUCACUCAAAACCAUGAUAACAAGUUGCUAGAACCCUCAAGCUAUGCAGACAAAGGACUGGAUAUAUUUUUUCGUGACCAAGCCUUCUGUAUAAUUAUUUAUACUUAAACCAUACAAAGCACUAUCUAGCCCCAAAGUAGGCAUACAGAGUAGCUUGUGUUGUGGGUACUAAGAUAGUUGAUAUUAUAAUAUUCAUUUACAUUUAUAUACUACCUAUAAAUACUUAUAUAAUGUAUAAAUACACACACACUGGAAAAAACCCAUGCUCUUCACACAAAUAUUUUCCAGGUGUGGGAAUCGAACCCAUGACCGUGGAUGCAGGAGCACUACUUACUGCGCCACGCGUAUGUGUUUUUAUUUUGAAGCAAAUUAUUAAAGUUGAUAAUUCAAAUUGUAGUCAUUGUUUUAAUUAAUUUUUAAUUUACAUUUUUGUUAAAUAUUUAGCUAUACUUCAGUCUAUUUUUGUUAGAGGGGGUACCUAUAUGUGUAAGUAGGGUCGUUUCUUGAUUAAAUUAAACUAAAGAAUGAAAGAUAUAUAUUAUAACAAAAUUUGUCAACAACAAUAUAUCAAGUCUGAAUAAAAAAUACCAACACAAGUAAAUAUAUUUUUUAUUUUUAAGUAAUAGAUGUUACACAAAUAUAGAACUACCUGGCCCUACCUGCUUAACAUUAAACAACAUUGUUUUUAAUCAAAUCAUUAUUUAUUUAUUUCCUACAAUGUGGUAGGUACAUGUUUUGUUCUUAAAAUUAUUGAAUUGUAUAGAUAAACAACUAAUGUAGUAUUCAAUUUUUUCUUUUACAAUUACUUAAAUAAUCAUCAUCAUCAUCAUCAUCAUCAUCAUCAUCAUCAUCAUCAUCAUCAUUAUAAACACAUAUUCGGCUCACUGCUGAGCUCGAGUCUCCCCCAGUAAGAGGGGUUAGUGCCUACCCGCACUCGGGAGACCCCGCACUGGAAAGCGUGGUUGGUCGGUUGGUUGGAUGUUCGCGGCUCAAGGUCGUUGUGCUUGGAGGUCCAUGUAAGAGGCCUAUGUCCAGCAGUGGACGUCUAUCGGCUGAUAAGGUAAGGGAAGGCCAAUGCCUAACCCCUCUCAUUCUGACAGGAGCCGAAUAUGGGCCAGCAUAUUUGGAUUACAUUGGCAGACAUCACAUAUGCAGAAAAUUCUCUGGUAUGCAGGUUUCCUCACGAUGUUUUCCUUCACUGUUUGAGACACGUGAUAUUUAGUUUCUUAAAAUGCACACAACUGAAAAGUUGGAGGUGCGUGCCCCGGAACGGGUUCGAACCCACACCCUCCGGAAUUGGAGGCAGAGGUCACAUUCACUGGGCUAUUAGGGAUAAUAAUAAUAGUUAAAUAAUAUUUCCUCCUAAUAAUAGAUAAUAAAACAUAUUUUGAUGUGCAAUUUUACAAUAAAAUUUUUAUCUAAUACUAUGUAAUACUGAAAUUAACCAAAUGAUAAUAAUCAUAUUCUUUAUAUACAGUGAUGUCAUAAUUAACUAUAUUAAAUUAAAAUGAAAUUAUAUUUGACAAUUUUCUCUCAUAUGCAAUGUCAUUAUUGAUAAUAAUCUUAUAAAAAAUCUGUUCAUUAAAUGUUUGUUUAAUUCUUUCUUCAUGAAUCGUUCAUAGAGAUGAAGGAUUCAGAAUCACCAAUUUUUUCAAGGUGUUUUGCACCUCAAUGGUGACCAGCGACAUGGAGACUUCCAUAGUCAGUCCCUGGCACUCAAAGUUUAGAGCCCACAUCUUCAUGUUGAUCUGAAAUGCAGAAAAUAUUUUUUUAUUACAUGAACUACAUAUGCCCCCGGUUUCUUUAAGUAGAUCUCAUUCCUGUGGGAAUAUUGAGAUAAGAAAUGGCCUAUGUAUUAUAUCUUGAUUAAGAGUUUAUAUAAAUGACAAAUCUAGGGGGGGGUUAAUUGAUAUAUUUAUACCUCAGGUAUAUUACUUGGUUCUACAAUAUAUUUCUGUGAGAUGGUGAUAACAAAAAUAAUACUUUGUUGUAUUUAUGUUGAGCUUCUUUUCAGACGAAGAAUGUUUGUGAUCCUUUAGUUUCAGGUUAAUGAAUAUUGUUAUCAUAAACAAUACAUUAUUGUAAAUGAUAACAAUAUUCAUUAUAUGUGAUAUUUAACAAAUCAAAAUGAUGAUAUUUAACAAAUCAAAAUGUGCAAUAUUUAUUAAGCUGAACAUGUACAUAAUAAAAGAAAAUAUAAAGUACAAAUUAUUAU